UACGGGGGGGGCAAGCGUUGUUCGGAAUUACUGGGCGUAAAGGGCUCGUAGGUGGCCAACUAAGUCAGACGUGAAAUCCCUCGGCUUAACCGGGGAACUGCGUCUGAUACUGGAUGGCUUGAGAUUGGGAGAGGGAUGCGGAAUUCCAGGUGUAGCGGUGAAAUGCGUAGAUAUCUGGAGGAAUACCGGUGGCGAAGGCGGCAUCCUGGACCAUUACUGACGCUGAGGCGCGAAAGCUAGGGGAGCAAACGGG
rnacentral:rRNA from 1 species